AGAGUUUGAUCAUGGCUCAGGACGAACGCUGGCGGCGUGCCUAACACAUGCAAGUCGAGCGGGAACCUCAGGAGGGGUAACCCUUCUGAGGGGAGAGCGGCGAACGGGUGAGUAACACGUGGGCAACCUGCCCCGGACACCGGGAUAACCCAGGGAAACCUGAGCUAAUACCGGAUACUCCGGCGUGAUCGCAUGGUCGCGCCGGGAAAGCUCCGACGGUCCGGGAUGGGCCCGCGGCCUAUCAGCUUGUUGGUGGGGUAACGGCCCACCAGGGCGACGACGGGUAGCUGGUCUGAGAGGACGGCCAGCCACACUGGGACUGAGACACGGCCCAGACUCCUACGGGAGGCAGCAGUGGGGGAUCUUGCGCUAAUGCGCGAAAGCGUGACGCAGCGACGCCGCGUGGGGGAUGAAGGCCCUCGGGUUGUAAACCCCUUUCGGCAGGGACGAAGGGAAACUGACGGUACCUGCAGAAGAAGUCCCGGCUAACUACGUGCCAGCAGCCGCGGUA
rnacentral:rRNA from 1 species